UGUACAGCUUUGCCGGCGGCGUCGUUAAUAGGGAGGUGCCAAGCGGUGUUUGGAUUCACUGUGCGUAAAGGGUGCGUAGGCGGUCGUGUGAGUCUGACUAGAAAUCUCCAAGCUCAACUGCGAAAUAGCGUCGGAUACUAUCCGGCUCGAGGAAUGUAGGUGAGACUGGAAUUCUCGGUGUAGCAGUGAAAUGCGUAGAUAUCGAGAGGAACGCCAGUGGCGAAGGCGGGUCUCUGGACAUUUCCUGACGCUGAGGCACGAAAGCCAGGGGAGCAAACGGGAUUAGAUACCCAAGUAGUC
rnacentral:rRNA from 1 species